rnacentral:misc_RNA from 1 species
AUAUAUCAACCUUCUCUUUUUUGAGUGGUUUGGAUGUGGGGGUUUGCUGGCCUCUUAAAAAAAAAGGUCUUGGCUCUCCUGAAAUACAUUAGCAGAACAACCCUGUUCAUUGGUGUGAUAACUAUCUACGCUAUUGAAUGUGAAGGGCAGUUUGGCUUUCUAACAGUCCUUGGACAAGCUCAUCAUUA